rnacentral:lncRNA from 1 species
GCAGUGAGGUACACAGCUCACCAGUGGCUCCAAGUGCAGAAAAGAGGAAGUAUUUGGCUUCCAACUGCUGUUAGGUACCUGGAAGAUAUGAAAACCUAUUGGACGACACUUGCUGUCUUGGCAGUGCUGACGGAGGGUGAUUUUCACACUGCUUUUUCCUGUUCCUGCAGGAAUGGAGAGGGGAAAGCAGGGAUUCAUAUGGAAGGAGGGGAAGUUCCUGCUGCCUCCAGCACUUUGCCCAUUUUUCCAGCAUCCUUCCAGCUGCAGCGUUUCCCAUUCACCUACUGGGAGUUCUUCAGUAAGAGCAGCAUCUGGGGGUGGUGGUUUU